rnacentral:rRNA from 1 species
AGCUCCAAUAGCGUAUCUUAAAGUUGUUGCAGUUAAAAAGCUCGUAGUUGGAUUUUGGGGACGAUGGCGGGUGGUCCGUCGCAACGACGUGUACCCCCGUUGCGUUCCUUUGCUUCGCACUGCAGACCGUGGCCAUUCAUUUGGCGGCGGGCUCCUGCGUGCGAUCAUUUACUUUGAAAAAAUUAGAGUGUUCAAAGCAGGCGAGUUACGGCCGUUGAAUAGUUCAGCAUGGGAUAAUAGAAUAGGACUUUCGUCUUGUUGUGUUGGUUUUAGGGACGAAGGUAAUGAUUAACAGGGACAGUUGGGGAUAUCAGUAUUUAAUUGUCAGAGGUGAAAUUCUUGGAUUUAUGAAAGACUAACUACUGCGAAAGCAUUUAUCAAGGAUGUUUUCAUUAAUCAA